UAAAGGCUUGGUCCUGACUUUACUGUCAACUCUGGCUAAACUUACACAUGCAAGUAUCCGCACCCCUGUGAGAAUGCCCUACAGUUUCCCGCCCGGAAACAAGGAGCCGGUAUCAGGCACGGUUAACACCAGCCCAUGACACCUUGCUUAGCCACACCCUCAAGGGACAUCAGCAGUGAUAGAUAUUAAGCCAUAAGUGAAAACUUGACUUAGUUAAGGUCUAAAGGGCCGGUAAAACUCGUGCCAGCCACCGCGGUUAUACGAGAGGCUCAAGUUGACAGACAACGGCGUAAAGAGUGGUUAGGGAAAUUUUUAAACUAAAGCCAAACGUCCUCAAAGCUGUUUAACGCUCCCGAGUUAAGAAGAUCCAUUACGAAAGUAGCUUUACCCAUCCUGACCCCACGAAAGCUGUGAUACAAACUGGGAUUAGAUACCCCACUAUGCUCAGCCAUAAAAUUUGAUAGGCCCCUACGCCCCCUAUCCGCCCGGGUACUACGAGCAUCAGCUUAAAACCCAAAGGACUUGGCGGUGCUUCACAUCCGUCUAGAGGAGCCUGUUCUAGAACCGAUAACCCCCGUUAAACCUCACCCUCCCUUGUUAAUACCGCCUAUAUACCGCCGUCGUCAGCCUACCCUGUGAAGGACUAGAAGUGAGCAAGAUUGGUAAGACCCAAAACGUCAGGUCGAGGUGUAGUGUAUGAGAGGGGAAGAAAUGGGCUACAUUUCCUAAGUCAGGAAAUACGAACAAUGAACUGAAAUAAGCAUUUGAAGGUGGAUUUAGCAGUAAGCAAGAAAACAGAGUGUUCUGCUGAAAUUAUGGCAAUAAAGCACGCACAUAUCGCCCGUCACUCUCCCCGAGCUAAUAUGAAUAAUACCUAAAAAGCUACAUCUGCAAAGGGGAGGCAAGUCGUAACAUGGUAAGCGUACCGGAAGGUGCGCUUGGAACAAU
rnacentral:ncRNA from 1 species